UUGUUUCUAGUUUAUUAAGAAUGUUAGCUUGUCGUGCUAAAGGUGCAUUUAUUUUUUGCGGAGCAAG
rnacentral:tRNA from 1 species